rnacentral:miRNA from 1 species
GAUGCGCCGCCCACUGCCCCGCGC